rnacentral:rRNA from 1 species
CUUGAAGGGGGCUGCUCCUAGUACGAGAGGACCGGAGUGGACGGACCAAUGGUGUACCAAUUAUCCCGCCAGGGGUACAGUUGGGUAGCUACGUCCGGAAAGGAUAAACGCUGAAAGCAUCUAAGCGUGAAACCAGCCUUGAGAUGAGGUCUCCCGAAGCGUAAGCUUGAAAGACACCUUAAAGAAGAUGAGGUUGAUAGGCCAGGAGUAGAAGUUCAGUAAUGAAUGUAGCGGACUGGUACUAAUA